GACGAACGCUGGCGGCGUGCUUAACACAUGCAAGUCGAACGGUAAGGCCCUUCGGGGUACACGAGUGGCGAACGGGUGAGUAACACGUGGGUGAUCUGCCCUGCACUUCGGGAUAAGCCUGGGAAACUGGGUCUAAUACCGGAUAGGACCACUGCCUGCAUGGGUGGUGGUGGAAAGCUUUUGCGGUGUGGGAUGGGCCCGCGGCCUAUCAGCUUGUUGGUGGGGUGAUGGCCUAACAAGGCGACGACGGGUAGCCGGCCUGAGAGGGUGACCGGGCACACUGGGCCUGAGAUACGGGCCAGACUGCUACGGGAGGCAGCAGUGGGGAAUAUUGCACAAUGGGCGCAGGCCUGAUGCAGCGACGCCGCGUGAGGGAUGACGGCCUUCGGGUUGUAAACCUCUUGCGGCACCGACGAAGCGCAAGUGACGGUAGGUGCAGAAGAAGGACCGGCCAACUACGUGCCAGCCGCCGCGGUAA
rnacentral:rRNA from 1 species